rnacentral:tRNA from 1 species
GGGGCUGUAGCUCAGUUGGGAGAGCGCCUGCCUUGCACGCAGGAGGUCAGCGGUUCGAUCCCGCUUAGCUCCA